rnacentral:lncRNA from 1 species
ACAAAUAUUAAGAUUUUUUGUUCCAUAUUCAUCCAAAAUUUAUUUGGCCUACCUCUCAAAUUAACGAAAAUCAGCUACUUUACCAACUUAGUAUUGGAGAUAGAACUCAUCCCUAUUUUGAGCUUCAAUAGCAGUACGUGAACACUGAACAUAUACAAAAUACACAAAUUAAAAGAGCCAAAAGACAUGACAAUAUCACAAUCACAACAUCAUAUUUACAUGAGAUUUCAAAUUCAUUGUUUCAUUUGACAUGAUGACAAUAUCCCUUAUGUAUUACAUUUACAUAUAUAAUAUUUAAACGAGAUAGCAAAACACAAUCUUUCACUCUCUCUCGCUCUGUGAGUAUUUUUGCUCAAAUGUGUAGGUAAAAAUAGUACAAUUUCAUAGUAAAGUAUAAAAAUGAGAUUAUUUUUUGAAUAAAAAUACAUACCCGUGAGCGCAUACAUACAUAUAUAUAUAUAGAGAGAGAGAAAGGAUCUUAGGCUGACCAUUUGGACGGACGGACCAAAGGGAACACGCGGGUCAAAGGCUGAGAUCCGGGUCACACGCGGGUCAAAAAGAGGCCAUUUCCAAAUGAAAUCGAGACGAAUUUCACAGCUGAAGCAACGAAGCAAAGAGAUCCUCUCAAUUACAUCCAUUUCGCGAAUUUCGCAGAUCUGAAGUAAAGAGAUCUCAAACUCCCUCACCUCAAACUCUGCCAUUUCGCGAAGGGGCAGUAAUCACUAGAUUCCGAUUCUCUCAACUGGAACUGAAGCAAAGGGGCAGUAAUCACUAGAUCCGAUUAGCGAAUUCACAGAGCUAAUUCACAGAGCAAAAAAACUUUUGGGGUAUGUUUCAAUAAACUUGAAUUACUCAAUUCGGGACUAAUUAAAUGAUUUGAUAUUUGUUUUAUUAUAUUUUAGUAUAAAUUCAUAUAUGGAUGGAUUAUGGAUAGAUAUCGUCCAGAUGCGAUGUUCCUCUUGGUGUACCAGUACGACUAGAUUACUCCGUAAGCGUGCGAAUGUGUAAUUGUCUAGAUACAAUGAAUGUAUGUAUUAGGUCUCAAAGCUCGUAAUUUCUCUUUUAAUAAUUGUAUGAAAAGGGUUCUGUCCAUAAUUGGCUCUCCUAGUCCUAAUUCCACCACCACAGAGACACAGACACAGAGGAGGCCAACCACCAGAAUUAUACAAGUGCAACUAAAUAAGCAUAUAAACACUUUAUUGCUGCUUCAAACCAUUUCUCAUAAUUUAACAGUUCCAUAAACAAAUUAGAGCGGCAAAACAAGUAACUUGAAAUUCCUUUCUUCAUCUCAUACAUAAUUAGUGUAUCAUACAUAACUUGAAAUUUACAUUUUGUUUUUCAUUUCAGGAAUAUCACUAUAACUUUCAUUAACAUGUUGGGCUUGUCAUUUAGACUAUGGUAGACUGCAAUUAUGAUAACAGUAAGUAAGAUCAUUGUUUUCUGCAAUUUUAAUGUAAGUGAUGAUGUGUAAACUUCUUGUUAUCUGAUAACAGUAUGGUAGACUGCAAUUAUGAUAACAGUAAGUAAGAUCAUUGUUUUUUGCAAUUUUAAUGUAAGUGAUGAUGUGUAAACUUCUUGUUAUCUGAUAACAGUAUGGUAGACUGCAAUUAUGAUAACAGUAUGGUAGACUGUAAGUGAUGCUGUGUAGACUAUGGUAGACUGCAAUUAUGAUAACAGUAUGGUUGCCAUGUUGUGCAAUUUUCUGCAACUUCUUGUUUGCAAGUUAUCUGAUUUUGUAUUUUAUGUAGAUGUAUCAAGUUAUGUUCAGAUUGUAUCUGUGAAAAACAAUUAAAGACUUUGAACAUAUUUUCAGAUUGUAAACAGUCGAGGAGAUGUUCUUCAGUGUAGCCAUUACAUGCCUAUUGUUCGUCCUGAAGAUAAAGCCAUUAUAGCCACGCAUCCUGUAUUUUUUAUGUAACUUUGAGGAUGUGUUUUUGGAUAUUAGACUAUGUAUUUUUUUACUUUUGGAUAUUAGACUAUGUAUUUUGCUUUGCUUGGAAUGUACCAAUACAUUGGUUUACAGACAGGGUCUCUGUUUUCUUUUGAAAAACUGUUAUCAUUCAUCUUAUAGGGACACGGUUUUUGACCUCUACACAACCCAAAAUUUCAGACAGGGUUUCUGACUUCUACACGAAAUAACCAAAUAAAUUGUAGGGACAAACUUCCAGAUUUGAGGUGCCUUAGAAAAUAUACAAUAGAUCUUUCUUUUUCAUGAGUACAAGUUCCAUUAUCAUUCUAUUAAAAGAUAUGGUCUCCUGUCAUUCUAUUAAGUUUACGCCUAUCAUAAUGGUCAUCAUGAGGAAUGAUGCCAGAUGAAAUGUUUUCAACUUUUG